UACAGAGGUCCCAAGCGUUGUUCGGAUUUACUGGGCGUAAAGGGCGCGUAGGCGGCCACCGCAAGUCGGUUGUGAAAUCUCUGGGCUUAACCCAGAAAGGUCAACCGAUACUGCGGGGCUAGAGUGCAGAAGGGGCAACUGGAAUUCUCGGUGUAGCGGUGAAAUGCGUAGAUAUCGAGAGGAACACCUGCGGCGAAGGCGGGUUGCUGGGCUGACACUGACGCUGAUGCGCGAAAGCUAGGGGAGCGAACGGG
rnacentral:rRNA from 1 species